GACGAACGCUGGCGGCGUGCUUAACACAUGCAAGUCGAACGGAAAGGCCCUGCUUUUGUGGGGUGCUCGAGUGGCGAACGGGUGGGUAACACGUGAGUAAACUGCCCUUGACUUUGGGAUAACUUCAGGAAACUGGGGCUAAUACCGGAUAGGAGCUCCUGCUGCAUGGUGGGGGUUGGAAAGUUUCGGCGGUUGUGGAUGGACUCGCGGCUUACCAGCUUGUUGGUGGGGUAGUGGCUUACCAAGGCUUUGACGGGUAGCCGGCCUGAGAGGGUGACCGGCCACAUGGGGACUGAGGGACGGCGCAGACUCCUAUGGGAGGCAGCAGUGGGGAAUAUGGCAGAAUGGGCGGAAGCCUGAUGCAGCAACGCCGCGUGCGGGAUGACGGCCUUCGGGUUGUAAACCGCUUUCGCCUGUGACGAAGCGGGAGUGACGGUAAUGGGUAAAGAAGCACCGGCUAACUACGUG
rnacentral:rRNA from 1 species